CCUACGGGAGGCAGCAGUGGGGAAUAUUGCGCAAUGGGCGAAAGCCUGACGCAGCGACGCCGCGUGAGGGAUGAAGGUCUUCGGAUCGUAAACCUCUGUCAGCAGGGAAGAACGGUCACUGUGCUAAUCAGCAGUGAAUUGACGGUACCUGCAAAGGAAGCACCGGCUAACUCCGUGCCAGCAGCCGCGGUAAUACGGAGGGUGCGAGCGUUAAUCGGAAUUACUGGGCGUAAAGCGCUCGUAGGCGGUAUGUCAAGUCAAGGGUGAAAUCCCCGCGCGCAACGUGGGAACUGCCUUUGAAACUGGCAGACUGGAGUGUGUGAGAGGAUAGUGGAAUUCCAGGUGUAGGAGUGAAAUCCGUAGAUAUCUGGAGGAACAUCAGUGGCGAAGGCGACUAUCUGGCACAUAACUGACGCUGAGGAGCGAAAGCGUGGGUAGCAAACAGGAUUAGAUACCCUGGUAGUC
rnacentral:rRNA from 1 species